GUUCUCCAAGGGCCCCUUCCCGGUAACGAUGGCCUGCACGAAGAACCCGAACAUGGAGAACAUGGCGAGCCGGCCGUUCUUGAUCUCCUUCACCUUGAGCUCAGCAAAAGUGACAGGGUCAUCGGCUAGUCCCAACGGGUCGAAAUACUGCCCGCCCGGGUAAAGGUCGUUGCCUUCCCCGACGCCGUCGAGCCCGUUGAUGCGGAACCCUUCGACGAGGCCCAUGAGGAGCACCUGCGAGCCGAGGACCGCCAGGAUGCUCUGCGCGUGGACCAGGUUGGGGUUUCCCAGGUAGUCGAGCCCGCCCUCGGAGAAGAUCUGGGCGCCCGCCUUGAACCACACGGGCUCCUUGAACUCCACGCCCACCCACUUCUGGAGCACCUCCGGGAACACGCAGCCGAGGGCGCCGAGCAUCGCCCAUCGCCCGUGGAUCACCUCCAGCGCCCUGUUCCGGGCGAAGGCUUCAGGGUCGGCCGAUAGCCCGGCCGUGUCCCAGCCGUAGUCGCCCGGGAACUCGCCGCUCAGGUAUGACGGCGUCUGGGCCGAGAAUGGGCCCAGGUACUUCACCCGGUCUGGCCCGUACCACAGCUCGUUGCUCUGCGACCGCACACAGAACAGAGAACACUUUGUUUAGCAUUGCAGCUAGGCUGAUGCUGUGGUGUGGUUGAUUGAAGGAAUUUUUGGGGAAUGC
rnacentral:lncRNA from 1 species